CCCUUAGAUGCUCUGGGCCGCACGCGCGCUACACUGGUCGAUGCAACGAGUUUCUUUCCUUGGCCGACAGGCCUGGGCAAUCUUUGAACAUCGGUCGUGAUCGGGAUAGAUUCUUGUAAUUUUUGAUCUUAAACGAGGAAUUCCUAGUAAACGCAAGUCAUCAGCUUGCAUUGAUUACGUCCCUGCCCUUUGUACACACCGCCCGUCGCACCUACCGAUUGAAUGGUCCGGUGAAAUCUCCGGACUGGCGUGAGUCGGAGCAAUCUGACAAACACCGGAAAGUUGAUUAAACCUUACCAUUUAGAGGAAGGUGAAGUCGUAACA
rnacentral:rRNA from 1 species